rnacentral:rRNA from 1 species
CUGCUGCCUCCCGUAGGAGUUUGGGCCGUGUCUCAGUCCCAAUGUGGCCGUUCACCCUCUCAGGCCGGCUACUGAUCGUCGCCUUGGUGGGCCGUUACCCCCUCCAACCAGCUAAUCAGACGCGGGUCCAUCCUGUACCACCGGAGUUUUUCACACUGUACCAUGCGGUACUGUGCGCUUAUGCGGUUUUAGCACCUAUUUCUAAGUGUUAUCCCCCUGUACAGGGCAGGUUACCCACGCGUUACUCACCCGUCCGCCACUAAGAUAAAA